GCAAGUCGAGCGGUAACAGGCGGGAGCUUGCUCCUGCGCUGACGAGUGGCGGACGGGUGAGUAAUGCAUAGGAAUCUGCCCAGUAGUGGGGGACAACACGGAGAAAUUCGUGCUAAUACCGCAUACGUCCUACGGGAGAAAGCGGGGGAUCUUCGGACCUCGCGCUACUGGAUGAGCCUAUGUCAGAUUAGCUUGUUGGUAGGGUAACGGCCUACCAAGGCAACGAUCUGUAGCUGGUCUGAGAGGAUGAUC
rnacentral:rRNA from 1 species